UAGUAAAGAAACGACCACUGGCAGUUGACUUUGCUGAAGAAAACUCUCUUCCAAUGGCAUUGCUGGUUUGUCAAUUUCUCCUCAACAAGAGCUUUGUCUAUUAGAUUACACCAAGUUUGAGAAAAAAAAGAUCGAGGGUAAAUCAAUUGAUGAGAUGCUUCUGUGUCAAUCGCAUAGAACUGUACUUUGAGUUGUGCCAAUACAAAUGGGCUUCCUAGAAAUUGCUCCAAGGCAAUUAUGCUGAUCAAGUGUUUAGGUUUUUCACUCUCAGGCCUCAGCUUUGAACAAUCAUCAAACUCCCCCUUUAUUCUAUGCAUUGUUCAUUUUAUACUUGUUAUAUCACAUAUAUGUAAUACCUCUUUAUAUUAUAUAUAAUUUA